ACGUUCUCGGGUCUUGUACACACUGCCCGUCACGCCAUGGGAAUUGGUUUCACUCGAAGCUAAUGACCUAACCGCAAGGAGGGAGUUAUUUAAAGUGGGAUCAGUGACUGGGGUGAAGUCGUAACAAGGUAGCAGUAGGGGAAUCUGCAGCUGGAUUACCUCCUUA
rnacentral:rRNA from 1 species